UCUUUUCUCUUUUUAAUCCUUAUAUUUAUCAUAUUUGGAUGUUUUAGGUUGCAUGUUUCUUUUUUAGGAUGUUUUGCAUUUCACACUCGUAAUCGUUCCUCGUCUUACGUGUAUGUGAUGAAUGGCUUAUUUAUUCAUUUAUUUAUUUUUUCUCGUAUCGCGCUUUGCAUUUGGGUGGGGGAAAAUAUCACCGUAGAGCCUCCACACGUGUUUUAAUUAUAAUCUCUCCCCUCAAAAGGAAGCACUUCAUACGUGCAUGCAUUAUUUUUACCCUAUUUUUAUUUUUCUCGUGGGCGCCAUCCCACAUCUCCUUGUAGGAUUAGGAUCGAUUUCCUUAGGUAGGCGGAUGGUGUGCUCUGCGCCCAUAGCGAUGCCUAAGGGAUCACUCAAGCCACCGACCGAAGGUUUUGGGAUUGAUGACCCUUAACUUUUUGGUCUGAAGGCUUGGGAGCCUGAAAUCUUAUCGAGUCUAGAUGCAUUAGUAAGCCAAACCUCAUGCAUCCAUAUUAGAAAUUACCUAGGAUAGAGUCAACCUACCUAAUUAGGAGCACUAAGCACGAGGGGAGGGGUUUCACCCC
rnacentral:lncRNA from 1 species